rnacentral:lncRNA from 1 species
CUUGACCAUUUAAACCACCAUUUACCAAUCACCUGUACCUGCCAGGCACUGUUGUAAGUUGAGAGCCUGGAAGCAGGUCCCAUGAGGCUGCUGCCCUUGUGGGGCUGGAAUUCUAUAGCAAGAGAUGGACAAUCAAACAUCAGAUGAAUACGGUGCAGAGAAUAACUGAACAUGUCUAGCAGAAGGUGGUGAGGAAAGGCCUCCGGAAGUUGAGAUCUGAAUGACCAGAAGGGGUCCCCUUGUGACCAGUGCAAGGCUAUUUACUCACAGGGGACAGCACAGCACUUCCCAAGGCAUGGGUGGCAGGAGCCUGGGCAGAGCAUUAGGAUGUUAUGUAUUCCAGGGUGGUAUUGGCUGCAGACUCCAGGUAGGUAACCACGGGGCUUUAGGUAGGGAAGAAGCAUUAUGUUUUUAAAACUCAAUGUUGCUGCUGUGUAUAGAAUGGAAGCGCACAGGUAGAAGCAAGAAGACCAAUUAGGGGACUGUCACAGGCAUCCUGAAGAGAUGAGCACAGCUUGGCCUCAGGGAAUGGGGGAGAUGACUAAAAAGCCUCUCCUGUCCUACCCAUUUUUCUCCCCUCCACCUUUGCGUUGUUAUCAUUUCUGGCACAUUGGUAACUGCAUUUAUUCUAUUGCUCUGCUUAACUGAGGUAGGGAAAGGGUUCAAGAUAAAAAAAACAAAUACUUAGAUGUUUUUACUUGACAUUGUUUCAUCUAUAUUCUAUAGUGUUGUGGGACCCAGGACUAUUAGGCACCUAGGCCAAGGCCUUCUUCCUCCUCAUAGUCCAAUAAAUAGUAUUUCCAAUGUUGAUUAGAAUUCUGUUUUAAUACCUUUUGCUUUUUGAGAACCGCAGAGUGGUAACUAGAUCAUCCAUUUCAUGGCCAUCGCAGCAAUAAUUGUAUAUGUGAGUAACCUUGAAAGGUCCAGGUCUGCUGCCACCCACAAGAGCCAGUGUCUGGAGAGACAGUAAUGGGGCGAGAAAGGGUUUGAUUAACAACAAACUGGCAAAUUGGGUGUAGGGAAGCUAAUACAUUCUCCAGCUUUCCCAGCACCAUGGAGAAAAGGUUUACAUAGCACCUUCUUUUUAAUUGAUUUUAUUUUUUAAAUACAUGACAGUGGAAUGCAUUACAAUUCUUAUUACACAUAUAGAGCACAAUUUUUCA